rnacentral:sRNA from 1 species
CCCGGCUGGCCCGCGCCCGGCUUUCGGUGGCGGUGGUCGUCCGGCCCGUCCGGCUCCUGACCUGUCGCAGGCACAGGAUCUGCGCGGCAUCGUGAAGUGGUACAACGCCACGAAGGGCUUCGGCUUCAUCACGCCGGAAAACGGUGGCAAGGACAUCUUCAUCCACGCCUCGGCUCUCGAGCGUUCGGGCCUCUCCGGCCUCAAUGAAGGCCAGGCCGUCGAUGUGAAGGUUGUGCAGGGCCAGAAGGGCCCGGAAGCAGCCGACAUCAACAUCGCCUGAGCGAUCUUUUGAUCCAGAAAAAACCCGGCCUUGUGCCGGGUUUUUUUGU